GCCGAGGUAGCCAAGGUGGUUACGGCGGGAGUCUGAAAAACUUCAGAUGUCAGUUCGACUCUGACCCUCGGCACAA
rnacentral:tRNA from 1 species